rnacentral:rRNA from 1 species
UACGAAGGGGGCUAGCGUUGUUCGGAUUUACUGGGCGUAAAGCGCACGUAGGCGGAUUGGUCAGUUAGGGGUGAAAUCCCAGAGCUCAACUCUGGAACUGCCCUUAAUACUGCCAGUCUAGAGUCCGGAAGAGGUGAGUGGAACUCCUAGUGUAGAGGUGGAAUUCGUAGAUAUUAGGAAGAACACCAGUGGCGAAGGCGGCUCACUGGUCCGGUACUGACGCUGAGGUGCGAAAGCGUGGGGAGCGAUCCGG